rnacentral:rRNA from 1 species
UACGUAGGGGGCUAGCGUUGUCCGGAAUCAUUGGGCGUAAAGCGCGCGUAGGCGGCCCGGUAAGUCCGCUGUGAAAGUCCAGGGCUCAACCCUGGAAAGCCGGUGGAUACUGCCGGGCUAGAGUCCGGGAGAGGCGAGUGGAAUUCCUGGUGUAGCGGUGGAAUGCGUAGAUAUCGGGAAGAACACCGGUGGCGAAGGCGGCUCGCUGGGCCGUUGCUGACGCUGAGGCGCGAAAGCGUGGGGAGCAAACAGG